rnacentral:rRNA from 1 species
AUUGAACGCUGGCGGCAGGCCUAACACAUGCAAGUCGAACGAGUGGCGGACGGGUGAGUAAUGUCUGGGAAACUGCCUGAUGGAGGGGGAUAACUACUGGAAACGGUAGCUAAUACCGCAUACCAUCGGAUGUGCCCAGAUGGGAUUAGCUAGUAGGUGGGGUAAAGGCUCACCUAGGCGACGAUCCCUAGCUGGUCUGAGAGGAUGACCAGCCAACAUGGAACGGAGACACGGUCAAGACUCUGACGGAGGGGAGCAGGGGGGAAUAUUGCACAAGGGGGGAAAGCCUGAUGCAGCCAUGGGGCGUGUAUGAAGAAGGCCUGCGGUUUGUAAAGUACUUUCAGCGGGGAGGCGUUACCCGCAGAAGAAGCACCGGCUAACUCCGUGCCAGCAGCCGCGGUAAUAC